ensembl:snRNA U7 U7 small nuclear RNA
UAAAGUUCGCUCUUUUAGAAUUUCUCCAGUAGGUUUCUUCAAGGAGAACCCCCC